rnacentral:rRNA from 1 species
AUUGAACGCUGGCGGCAUGCCUUACACAUGCAAGUCGAACGGUAACAGGUCUUUCUGGAUGCUGUCGAGUUGCGAACGGGUGAGUAAUUCAUCCGAACAUGCCUAGUCUUUGGGGAUAACUACUCUACAGAGUGGCUAAUACCGCAUGAGAUCUAUUUAUGAAACCAGGGGACCUUUGGGCCUUGUGCUACUAGCUCUCCCGAUGGCAGAUUAGGUAGUUGGUGUGAUAAAUGCUUACCAAGCCUACGAUCUGUAGCUGGUCUGAGAGGACGAUCAGCCACACUGGGACUGAGACACGGCCCAGACUCCUACGGGAGGCAGCAGUGGGGAAUGUUGGACAAUGGGCGCAAGCCUGAUCCAGCAAUGCCGCGUGAAGGAUGAAGGUCUUCGGGUUGUAAAAUGCUUUUGUAAGGAAAGAAAAGACUUGGGUGAAAACCCUGGGAUCAUGACGGUACCGAAAGAAUAAGCACCGGCUAACUACGUG